rnacentral:rRNA from 1 species
ACGGAAGGCAGCAGUGGGGAAUAUUGCACAAUGGGCGAAAGCCUGAUGCAGCGACGCCGCGUGAGUGAAGAAGUAUUUCGGUAUGUAAAGCUCUAUCAGCAGGGAAGAAAAAUGACGGUACCUGACUAAGAAGCACCGGCUAAAUACGUGCCAGCAGCCGCGGUAAUACGUAUGGUGCAAGCGUUAUCCGGAUUUACUGGGUGUAAAGGGAGCGCAGGCGGUACGGCAAGUCUGAUGUGAAAGCCCGGGGCUCAACCCCGGUACUGCAUUGGAAACUGUCGAACUAGAGUGUCGGAGGGGUAAGCGGAAUUCCUAGUGUAGCGGUGAAAUGCGUAGAUAUUAGGAGGAACACCAGUGGCGAAGGCGGCUUACUGGACUGUAACUGACGUUGAGGCUCGAAAGCGUGGGGAUCAAACAGGAUUAGAUACCCUGGUA